GCCUUCGUGGUGUAGUGGUCAACACACUCGACGCGUAAUCGAGAGGUCCGUGGUUCGAUUCUUUCGAAGGCG
rnacentral:tRNA from 1 species